UACAGAGGUCUCAAGCGUUUGUUCGGAAUUACUGGGCGUAAAGGGUGCGCAGGCCGCGCGGGCAGUCAAAUGUGUAAUUCAGGGGCUCAACCCCUGCACUGCGCUUGAUACUUCCGCGCUCGAGCUUUGGAGAGGAGUCUGGAAUUCUCGGUGUAGCAGUGAAAUGCGUGGAUAUCGAGAAGAACACUUAGGGCGUAGGCAAGACUCUGGACAAAUGCUGACGCUCAUGCACGAAGGCUAGGGUAGCGAACGGG
rnacentral:rRNA from 1 species